GUUCCCUAGGCCCAGCCCGGAGCCCCGACCCCCGACCCUGCCCCCAGGCAAUCCUCAGCCCAGAGCAGGAAUGCUUUUGGAUCUUUAUCUGGAGGAGGAGGAAAUGAACUUUCUACACCCAAUUUUUUUCUACUCUCCUAGGUAACGUUGAUCACCCAGGGGGGAGCAUUACCUGAAACUACUGAUGUAAAUUGUUCAACGCUUGAAUUGGUUGCUGAAAAAUUCAAGGAAGUCUUUUAAGAGAAGGCUUUCUUUAAGCUUCGGUAGAAUUGUCUCUGCCUAACCAGGACAGUGGGAGUCACAACGUGUAAGUAGGGGGAGACAGGUUUAGGUCAUCUCUAACUUACCUCUCAGCGCCACAGUAGCAUUUCCUGAGCUGGCUUUUUGGUGGCCUUAGAGCUGGCCCCGCGGUUUCCUGAGACUGGAUUCAAGGCUUUCAGUUCCUCCUUCUAGAAGCAGAAUUCUUCCUGGAGAGAUAAAGCUGUCUGUACUUCCCCAUCACAAACACUCCCUAGAAUAUAACCCUGAGAAAAAUUAGAGGCCCUUCCUCCCAUGCUGUAUUUCUCUGUUAUCUACAGUGUGUACACCUCGUACAAUCUUUUACAUCCCUUUGUAAAAUAGGGGUAUAAUAUAUAGCAGUGGGUGUAAUAAAACAGGUCAGGGAGUGUUAUGAUGACUCGACAAAACUUCUGAGCUCUCCAGGUUUGCUUGGCUUCCCAACUGUCAUUGCAUUAUCAGCACUUACAAGACUGUCAUUUAUUCAUUUAACAAACACUAUAUGGAGCCACUGUGAUGUUCCAGAAGAUGCUAAGAAUGGGGCAUCUAAGAACACAGAGGACAUGGGCCCUGCUCUUAGGAGCUCACCAUCUCACAGGCGGCGAUCCUUGAGCACCACAGAUGCUCUACUAGAGGUAUGAACAAAAUCCCACAGGAGCAGGCAUGGGCAGACAGACAUUUCCUAUGGGAGCCUAGGAAGGACAUAUUUCCCUUCAUAACACAUUAUCACAGUACUUCUCAGGUUUCACAUCGUUGCUUGUUUCACUGUCUUUCCCACUAUUCUGGAAGGGCCUUGAGGAACAGAACUGUGGUUCCCCUGUGAUUGGACUCCGAUGGCCCAGACUGCCUGUCAGUGGGUUGGCCCUGAGGUGGCCCAUACCCAGGUGUGUUCCUUAAUGUUUAGUAUGGAGUGAUCUUAUAAGGAGGUCUGCCCGGACCCACGAUGAUGUCAGUCAUAAUUCUCUUCCUCUCCCACAUUACCAUCUUUCUCCUUGUGUUUGAUGAACUAAAACCGAAAUACCUUGGGCCCUUUGGGCCACUACCAAAGUUGGUGGCAUUUUAAUAAGUGCUUGUAAGGGACAGCGCAGAGUAAUCCGCUGUCUGCGUUUAUGAAAGCCCGCGGGAGUUUCUGAUUUCCCUGGGCUCCAGGUCACAUGCAGCCCUUCCUUGUCACCAUGUCUGCGGCUUCAGCAGACAUAUACUGAGCUCCUUUGCCAUGUCUGGUCAAUGCUCGACAGUGGCAGUGAGGUCCAGGGCCAGCCCCACAAGGUGUCCACGUUGCCACACACUGUGAGAUCUUCAAGGGACAAAGCUCAGGAAUGAGUCUGCAUCUUCUUCCCCGAAAACAUACUCUAGAAAUACUUUUAGAUUUAAUGCUUAUGUGUCUCCUCACCAGUGUUCGCAUCAACCCUCUUGUUUCAUGCCUUUUUGGGGAAGGACAGAAACUGACAUUACCUCCCUGUUAAGAUAUCAAUGCAGUAUUUUGGCCUUAGGAUAUCUUACCAGGAAAAAAAAAAAAAAUCUUUUUCUAUUAAGGCUACAAAUUUUGCUGAAGUUCUAGAUAAAUAUAUCAAGUAUGAAGUGUGACACUCUAUUUGCCCAAAAGCUAGAGUAAAGGGUCAUGUGUUCAUCUAGUCACUGUCCCCUUCCCUCAGGUCCAGGCUUCCUCCCGCCUCGUUCACUUUCUGCCUCUCAAGUCUCUUUGCUCCUGUGCAUUUCACCCUGCUCUAAAGGGUUCCUAAAGAAACAAACUCAAGGGAUUCAUCAUCUUUACAAUUCUGAAUCAGCACAUCCACUCAUUCUGAAAUAAUUCCAACAUCAGUCUUACCUGCAAAUGGUGUAAAAAGGCGCAGAGUUCAAAGACAUACCAGCUGUCUGCAUCGUUCCAAGAUUCUAAGCUUGUUGGCUGACCUUGGCUAGUACUUGUAUCUAUGUACCUUUGAAUUUAGCAAAACAGGAGUCUUAUUUUCUUAACCCAUUACACCAAGUUUCUCCCUGCAAACCACAUGUAUGCACUGUAAUAAGCCCGAAUGGCUGAGCUAAUAAGGUUUUUGAUUCCCGCUCUCACUUCCUCUUCCCCUUUUCUACUAUCAGCCCUCUUUUAAGCCAAAUGAAUAUUCAUAAAUUGCAACAACUGUGUAUUGAUUUCAUACUACCUUCAGGGCAUUCUGAUAGACUAGAAGGACCCAAAGGGCUGAACACCAGGGUUUGUGAAUUUCAGAGUAAGGAGCAGGUGCUUGGGACCACUGAUGAGUGGUGCCUAUAGGGAAAGCGGGGCGGCCAACCGCCUGCAGGCAAAGCUUGAGCCACAGGGGGAAAGGUUCAUCAAAGAUACCAAACCUGCCAGACAAGAAGGAGAGAAGGGAACACUACCAGCAAGAAGCAACUCAAUGGGCAAAGACACAGGAACGAACAGUGCGAGGCUUGCUUAGGAAACAGCUGUGCCCUUUGGCCGUGCACAGGCUUACUCAUUUAUGUAACAUAUACUUACCUAGUGCUUUGUCCGCCGGAGACUCAGUUUUCUUCUUAGAAGGGAAAUCAUCCCAAGCAGACAAGCAUUGCUUCACCUUCCUUUCAAAACGGCAAGCUCUCCCAACAGAAACUUGUUAGGCUGUGGUCUUACAAAGUAAAAGGGAAAAAAAAAAAAAAAAAAGAAAGAAAAGAAAAAGGAAGAAGGAGAAGUGCUAACUGCUAACUUCUUGUACAAUUUAAAAAAAAAAAAAAGGGAUUUGUUUUUGGUUUGGGGGUUUUGUUGUUGUUGUUGUUGUUGUUUCCUCAGGAAGCUGGGCUACUGGCUCUGGUUGUGAGUGUUCCAGAAGUUCUGAUAAAAGGAAAACACCUAUUCCUGUUCAAGUGGAGCUCAAAAGAAUAAGAUACACGGAGGAGUAGCUGAGCAGAGAGCCUGUGACAAGCACCAUUUUCAUCCACCUACAAAAGGAGGUCUCCAUCGGGGCGCUUGUGUGGCUCAACCACCUCAAAUGAGAAUAUAAAUUGAAAACCUUGGCGAUAAGAGGAAAAUAAAAAUGAUCAAAAGAUUUUGGCAAAGAUGUCUGAGCCGGACGCUGUCGGACCCACUCCUGCUGGGCCACAACCCUGGCCUGGACCUUCAAGCCUCUGACUUCUAUGGAAAGGAAGAAAAAAUCCUCAUGGACACAGAAAGCAAGAGGUGUUUUGCCAAAUGGGUGAGCUCUGGCCUCUUCAGUCAGGGUUCCUCUUGCGAAACAAAAACUCUUUAAGGCGGGUAUUACACAGGUGAUAAGGGAUCUGGAAACUGGAACAGAGGAUGGUCAGGCGACGUGACAAUCAGCGAGAGCCGACAUCUGCUUGCAUGGAGGGCUGAGUGACAGCGGGUAAACCACCACAGCCAGGCCCAGUCCGACCUGCAGGUAACAGCCUGGGAUACUGUAUCUGCACGGAUUAGCUUCUUGCGGCUUUCGUCAUAAAUCACGGCAAACAUUAUGGCUUCAGACAAUCUGUGUUAUCUCACGGUUUCUGGGCAUGAGGAGUCCCGGCAUGACCUAGUGGGGUGCCCUGGUUUGGGCGCUCUCAAGGCUGUCAUCCAGCUGCUGGCCAGAGAUGCAUUCGUCUGCUGGCUGGAGAAAGCUGACUGCUGGCAGGUCUCCAUCCCCAGAGCUGGUGGCCAGACGCCUCCUCCCUUGUCAUACAGAGAAGCUCGCAGCAGAGCAGUGGACAUCAUCAGAGCCAACAGGGGAGUGGGCAAGAAUAUGAACAAGACAGAAGCCACAGUCUUUUUAAAGCUAUUCUCAGAAGUGAUGUCCUGUCUUUGUUGCCAUGUUCUGUGCAUUAGACAACACCCAGCCAUCAUCCAGGGGAAGGGGCCACACAGGAGCGUGAAGGUUAGGAAGGUGGGAUCCUUGGUGGCCACUGUAGGAGCUGUCCACUACCCAGGGAGACACGGGCAUUGCAAAUCCGCAAAGGAAGCAGCAGAUAAAGUGAGGGGAGAAUGACCCGGGCCUCUCCUUCUCCCUCACACUCUCAUCUUCUACUCGGGCCCCCACUGUCGGGAGAGUCUUGGACACGCAGCUUUGUGGGCUACAGCAGAGCAGGACAAAGGUAAGGAUGGGGUCUGAGAGCAGACUGGCGACAGAUCGAUGUGGUAUCCUUUUAGAUUUCCUACUCUAGCCAGAGAAACGAUGCAAGGGGAUUUUAUCUAAAGAGAGCGAUUUAAUGGUAAAGGGACCUCUUUCUGGGACCAAAGGGUAUUGGUUUUGCUCCCUUGUGAGGUCGCUCUAUGCUAUAUUCCAACAUUCCUGCUCCCCAAAGUGCCCCCAACACAUACCUCGGCCCUUCUACAGUGAUGGCCUGGAGAGGCUACGUGUACUCAAAUAAGGCCUGUGACUUCAGAAACUGUUUGAUCACCAGGACAAGUCUUGGGAGACCGGCUGAGGCCUCACAGAGGAGGCGGGUAACCUGUGAGUCCAUCGUGAUCUCUCUUACUUGGAUACUUCGGCAAGAUUUUUGCAAUAAAUCAAUGCUGUGAUUUUGAUUUAUUCCUCUUCUCUCUAAGCGACCACAAGUAAUCUCCAAAGUGCAACAAUAAAUGUAACAGUAAUCAGUGGCCAGCUGGUAUCACAGGCUACCUUCUAGCAGAUGGUGUUUUCCAAAGACGGUGGUAGAAACAUCUUCCUCACACAAGCUCUAGGACUCGCUACUCUCCUAUUACAGAGUGGUGUUUAUGUCCACUCCCCUUGAAGCUGGGCCAGGGACUUGGUGGACUGCCUCCACCAAGGGAGUACGGUGGAAACGGUACUCAGGGACAUCCUUAGCCUAGAUCAUAACAGUGCCACACACUGUAACUCAUUGUCUCGCUAACCUCCAUCCGGCGAUCCAGCCUCCAUUCUGUGAGGAAGCCCAGGCAGCUACCGAGGCCCACGUGGAGGGAAAUAGAGGCCUCUGGCCCCAAACCCCACUUUGGCCCAGUCACAGCCUCGAUCAACAAGCUGUGUGAGUGAACCAUCUAGAAACACAUUCUUGAGUUUUCUCUUCUUCAGCUCCUCUGGCCGACACCACUUGG